rnacentral:rRNA from 1 species
AUGAACGCUGGCGGCGUGCCUAAUACAUGCAAGUCGAGCGAACAGACGAGGAGCUUGCUCCUCUGACGUUAGCGGCGGACGGGUGAGUAACACGUGGAUAACCUACCUAUAAGACUGGGAUAACUUCGGGAAACCGGAGCUAAUACCGGAUAAUAUAUUGAACCGCAUGGUUCAAUAGUGAAAGACGGUUUUGCUGUCACUUAUAGAUGGAUCCGCGCCGCAUUAGCUAGUUGGUAAGGUAACGGCUUACCAAGGCGACGAUGCGUAGCCGACCUGAGAGGGUGAUCGGCCACACUGGAACUGAGACACGGUCCAGACUCCUACGGGAGGCAGCAGUAGGGAAUCUUCCGCAAUGGGCGAAAGCCUGACGGAGCAACGCCGCGUGAGUGAUGAAGGUCUUCGGAUCGUAAAACUCUGUUAUUAGGGAAGAACAAAUGUGUAAGUAACUAUGCACGGCUUGACGGUACCUAAUCAGAAAGCCACGGCUAACUACGUG